UUAUGAUGGGAAAGUAAUGUUGUGGGAUCUAAGAACAUCGGAAAAUCCAACUACACUAGAUUGCGGUCCAAGAACAAUUUGCAGAAGGCACAUAAUGACUAGCUCCUACCUCUACGAAUGCUUGUGGGAGGCAUUGCAGCAGCGAAUAAGGAUGAUAUUGAUCAACAUGCAGUUGACACCAUAUGUGCUCUGAAUCCGAAUUCAGGUGUGACUUUUAGAUAUUUUAUGUGCAAAAAAGUAUUAGAGUGCCUUAUGUUUGUAUGUUAGUUAAGCAGAUUAUAGAUAGAACCUGCAGUAGGAUCAACUAAUUAGUUGAUCAAAAACUACACCCUAUUUUGUAAUCGUCUACUUGCAUAUUUGCAUAUAUUUAAUAAUAAUCUCGUGUCAACUAAUUAUUCUAUUUUUUUUAUUUAA